rnacentral:hammerhead_ribozyme from 1 species
AUCCAGCUGACGAGUGCCAAAUAGGACGAAAUGCGCGUCCUGGAU